UUUUUCUCGUAAAUUUACAACUUUUAAUCUCGUAAAUUUACGACUUUUUUCUCGUAAAUUUACGACUUUUUUUCUCGUAAAUAUAUUGAAGUCGAGGGGAGCCUACAGUCCAGCGAAUUUAUGCCGUGCGCUGAAGCAGGCCGACCAAAAUGUGAAAAACGUCUUGGAUUUCAUCAGGAUCUCUGCAGAUUACGUUGACGAAGCCGUCGAUAUCCGCGCAGCUGUUCACUUCCAGUCAUUUCGUCCUCCGCGACAGACCAGAUCUCCUCCAACUCUGUGAUGCUUCCGUCUGAAGAGGACUAGUUUUCUGAAUUUUCAAUGUUCUUGUGCUAAUGUAACAGACAACUGUCAUUUCUCAGUGUUGUUUUGUGUUGAGAUGGGAUGUUUCAUUUGGAGAUGGGGAGGUCCGGAGCUCUGUUUACAUUCUCCUUUGGUUGUCAUGUGACGUAAGGUGGCGAAAAGGCUUCUGGGAAAUGAAAGGCAAAAUAAAGUGACGGACCUGAUAAA